rnacentral:tRNA from 6 species
GCACCCGUAGUGAAAUGGAUAUCACAACAGUCUUCGGAACUGUCAUUGCAAGUUCGAGUCUUGCCGGGUGCACCA